rnacentral:rRNA from 1 species
GAAACACAAACGACUCUCGGCAACGGAUAUCUCGGMUCCCGCAUCGAUGAAGAACGUAGCGAAAUGCGAUACUUGGUGUGAAUUGCAGAAUCCCGUGAACCAUCGAGUCUUUGAACGCAAGUUGCGCCCGAAGCCAUUAGGCCGAGGGCACGUCUGCCUGGGCGU